UGGGGAAUAUUGCACAAUGGGGGAAACCCUGAUGCAGCCAUGCCGCGUGUGUGAAGAAGGCCUUCGGGUUGUAAAGCACUUUCAGUAGGGAGGAAAGGUAGCAGCUUAAUACGCUGUUGCUGUGACGUUACCUACAGAAGAAGGACCGGCUAACUCCGUGCCAGCAGCCGCGGUAAUACGGAGGGUCCGAGCGUUAAUCGGAAUUACUGGGCGUAAAGCGUGCGCAGGCGGUUUGUUAAGCGAGAUGUGAAAGCCCCGGGCUCAACCUGGGAAUUGCAUUUCGAACUGGCGAACUAGAGUCUUGUAGAGGGGGGUAGAAUUCCAGGUAUAGCGGUGAAAUGCGUAGAGAUCUGGAGGAAUACCGGUGGCGAAGGCGGCCCCCUGGACAAAGACUGACGCUCAGGCACGAAAGCGUGGGGAGCAAACAGGAUUAGAUACCCUGGUAGUCCACGCCGUAAACGAUGUCUACUCGGAGUUUGGUGUCUUGAACACUGGGCUCUCAAGCUAACGCAUUAAGUAGACCGCCUGGGGAGUACGGCCGCAAGGUUA
rnacentral:rRNA from 1 species